GCAUACGAGGGCGAUGGAGUUCGCCCGAAAUUCGUUUUUACGAUGAUGACUCCUGUCCAAAG
rfam:Synergistes sp. 3_1_syn1 genomic scaffold supercont1.2, whole genome shotgun sequence.